rnacentral:rRNA from 1 species
AUCCGGAUCGAGGACAGUGUAUGGUGGGUAGUUUGACUGGGGCGGUCUCCUCCCAAAGAGUAACGGAGGAGUACGAAGGUGCGCUCAGACCGGUCGGAAAUCGGUCGUAGAGUAUAAAGGCAAAAGCGCGCUUGACUGCGAGACACACACGUCGAGCAGGUACGAAAGUAGGUCUUAGUGAUCCGGUGGUUCUGUAUGGAAGGGCCAUCGCUCAACGGAUAAAAGGUACUCCGGGGAUAACAGGCUGAUACCGCCCAAGAGUUCAUAUCGACGGCGGUGUUUGGCACCUCGAUGUCGGCUCAUCACAUCCUGGGGCUGAAGCCGGUCCCAAGGGUAUGGCUGUUCGCCAUUUAAAGUGGUACGCGAGCUGGGUUUAGAACGUCGUGAGACAGUUCGGUCCCUAUCUGCCGUGGACGUUUGAGAUUUGAGAGGGGCUGCUCCUAGUACGAGAGGACCGGAGUGGACGAACCUCUGGUGUUCCGGUUGUCACGCCAGUGGCAUUGCCGGGUAGCUAUGUUCGGAAGAGAUAACCGCUGAAAGCAUCUAAGCGGGAAACUUGCCUCAAGAUGAGAUCUCACUGGGAUCUUGAAUCCCCUAAAGGGCCGUCGAAGACUACGACGUUGAUAGGUUGGGUGUGUAAGCGCUGUGAGGCGUUGAGCUAACCAAUACUAAUUGCCCGUGAGGCUUGACCAU